GUUGUAUGGUUAAGUGACUAAGCGUACACGGUGGAUGCCUUGGCAGUCAGAGGCGAUGAAAGACGUAGUAACUUGCGAUAAGCCCAGAUUAGGUAGUAACAACCAUUUGAGUCUGGGAUUUCUGAAUGGGGAAACCCACGUGCAUAAGCACGUAUCCUUACCUGAAUACAUAGGGUAAGGAGGCGAACCGGGGGAACUGAAACAUCUAAGUACCCCGAGGAAAAGAAAUCAACCGAGAUUCCGAAAGUAGCGGCGAGCGAAAUUGGACUAGCCCUUAAGCUUUACACGCGUUAGACGAACGGUCUGGAAAGUCCGACGAUACAGGGUGAUAGUCCCGUAGUCGACGACGUGUGUUCAGUGAAAUCGAGUAGGGCGGGACACGUGAUAUCCUGUCUGAAUAUGGGGGGACCAUCCUCCAAGGCUAAAUACUACUGACUGACCGAUAGUGAACCAGUACCGUGAGGGAAAGGCGAAAAGAACCCCUGUGAGGGGAGUGAAAUAGAACCUGAAACCGUGUACGUACAAGCAGUAGGAGCAGGCUUUGUCCUGUGACUGCGUACCUUUUGUAUAAUGGGUCAGCGACUUAUAUUCAGUGGCAAGGUUAACCAUCUAGGGGAGCCGUAGGGAAACCGAGUCUUAACUGGGCGUUCAGUCUCUGGAUAUAGACCCGAAACCAGGUGAUCUAGCCAUGGGCAGGUUGAAGGUUGAGUAACAUCAACUGGAGGACCGAACCGACUAAUGUUGAAAAAUUAGCGGAUGACUUGUGGCUAGGGGUGAAAGGCCAAUCAAACCUGGAGAUAGCUGGUUCUCCCCGAAAGCUAUUUAGGUAGCGCCUCGGACGAAUACUACUGGGGGUAGAGCACUGUUAAGGCUAGGGGGUCAUCCCGACUUACCAACCCUUUGCAAACUCCGAAUACCAGUAAGUACUAUCCGGGAGACACACGGCGGGUGCUAACGUCCGUCGUGGAGAGGGAAACAACCCAGACCGCCAGCUAAGGUCCCAAAUUACUACUAAGUGGGAAACGAUGUGGGAAGGCUCAGACAGCCAGGAUGUUGGCUUAGAAGCAGCCAUCAUUUAAAGAAAGCGUAAUAGCUCACUGGUCGAGUCGGCCUGCGCGGAAGAUGUAACGGGGCUAAGUAGUAAACCGAAGCUGCGGCAAUGUGCUUUUGCACAUUGGGUAGGGGAGCGUUCUGUAAGCGGUUGAAGGUGUGUGGUAACGCAUGCUGGACGUAUCAGAAGUGCGAAUGCUGACAUGAGUAACGAUAAAGGGGGUGAAAAACCUCCUCGCCGGAAGACCAAGGGUUCCUGUCCAACGUUAAUCGGGGCAGGGUAAGUCGACCCCUAAGGCGAGGCCGAAAGGCGUAGUCGAUGGGAAACGGGUUAAUAUUCCCGUACUUCUUACAAUUGCGAUGGGGGGACGGAGAAGGCUAGGUGGGCCUGGCGACGGUUGUCCAGGUUCAAGUGCGUAGGCUUGAGAGUUAGGUAAAUCCGGCUCUCUCUAAGGCUGAGACACGACGUCGAGCACCUACGGGUGUGAAGUCAUUGAUGCCAUGCUUCCAGGAAAAGCCUCUAAGCUUCAGAUUGUAAGGAAUCGUACCCCAAACCGACACAGGUGGUCGGGUAGAGAAUACCAAGGCGCUUGAGAGAACUCGGGUGAAGGAACUAGGCAAAAUGGUACCGUAACUUCGGGAGAAGGUACGCUCUUGAUGGUGAAGUCCCUUGCGGAUGGAGCUGACGAGAGUCGCAGAUACCAGGUGGCUGCAACUGUUUAUUAAAAACACAGCACUGUGCAAAAUCGUAAGAUGACGUAUACGGUGUGACGCCUGCCCGGUGCCGGAAGGUUAAUUGAUGGGGUUAGACUUCGGUCGAAGCUCUUGAUCGAAGCCCCGGUAAACGGCGGCCGUAACUAUAACGGUCCUAAGGUAGCGAAAUUCCUUGUCGGGUAAGUUCCGACCUGCACGAAUGGCGUAAUGAUGGCCACGCUGUCUCCACCCGAGACUCAGUGAAAUUGAAAUCGCUGUGAAGAUGCAGUGUACCCGCGGCUAGACGGAAAGACCCCGUGAACCUUUACUACAGCUUGGCACUGAACAUUGACCCUACAUGUGUAGGAUAGGUGGGAGGCUUUGAAGCACGUACGCCAGUAUGUGUGGAGCCGUCCUUGAAAUACCACCCUUGUAGUGUUGAUGUUCUAACGUCGACCCCUAAUCGGGGUUGCGGACAGUGCCUGGUGGGUAGUUUGACUGGGGCGGUCUCCUCCCAAAGAGUAACGGAGGAGCACGAAGGUGGGCUAAUCACGGUUGGACAUCGUGAGGUUAGUGCAAUGGCAUAAGCCCGCUUGACUGCGAGAAUGACAAUUCGAGCAGGUGCGAAAGCAGGUCAUAGUGAUCCGGUGGUUCUGAAUGGAAGGGCCAUCGCUCAACGGAUAAAAGGUACUCCGGGGAUAACAGGCUGAUACCGCCCAAGAGUUCAUAUCGACGGCGGUGUUUGGCACCUCGAUGUCGGCUCAUCACAUCCUGGGGCUGAAGUCGGUCCCAAGGGUAUGGCUGUUCGCCAUUUAAAGUGGUACGCGAGCUGGGUUUAGAACGUCGUGAGACAGUUCGGUCCCUAUCUGCCGUGGGCGUUGGAAGAUUGAAGGGGGCUGCUCCUAGUACGAGAGGACCGGAGUGGACGAACCUCUGGUGUUCGGGUUGUGUCGCCAGACGCAUUGCCCGGUAGCUAAGUUCGGAAUCGAUAACCGCUGAAAGCAUCUAAGCGGGAAGCGAGCCCUGAGAUGAGUCUUCCCUGAUACUUUAAGUAUCCUAAAGGGUUGUCGGAGACUACGACGUUGAUAGGUCAGGUGUGUAAGUGCUGUGAGGCAUUGAGCUAACUGAUACUAAUUGCCCGUGAGGCUUAACCAUACAACACCCAAGGGGUUU
rnacentral:rRNA from 1 species